UAGGGAAUCUUCGGCAAUGGGGGGAACCCUGACCGAGCAACGCCGCGUGAGUGAAGAAGGUUUUCGGAUCGUAAAGCUCUGUUGUUAAGGAAGAACGAGUGUGAGAAUGGAAAGUUCAUGCUGUGACGGUACUUAACCAGAAAGGGACGGCUAACUACGUGCCAGCAGCCGCGGUAAUACGUAGGUCCCGAGCGUUGUCCGGAUUUAUUGGGCGUAAAGCGAGCGCAGGCGGUUAGAAAAGUCUGAAGUGAAAGGCAGUGGCUCAACCAUUGUAGGCUUUGGAAACUGGUUAGCUGGAGUGCAGAAGGGGAGAGUGGAAUUCCAUGUGUAGCGGUGAAAUGCGUAGAUAUAUGGAGGAACACCGGUGGCGAAAGCGGCUCUCUGGUCUGUAACUGACGCUGAGGCUCGAAAGCGUGGGGAGCGAACAGG
rnacentral:rRNA from 1 species